rnacentral:lncRNA from 1 species
AUAUUAUUGAAGCUUCAUUAAGGAUGAGUAGGAUCUCCUUUUGAAGGAGGUGCAGGACCAUUUGGAAGAGAUUGCAAAACAAGACCAUGCUCCUGAUAAUGCAAUAAUAAUGGCCUGCAAUCUGCGCUUGAUUGAGAUGUUACAAGAAUGAUUAGUACAAGGAGCAAAACUCUGAAAAGGAUCAUUCUAUAAGAGAAAGCCAUGUAUAUGUAUAUAUAAAUGUUGGAAUCAAUUUGUAUGUGAAAUAUGUUC